ACGUGUCAAUGCAAGUCAAUCGUGAGUCUAUGAUGUAUAAUUGAAAAAUAUCAGACUAAAGAGAAUUUUAGCUAGAACUAAGCUGCUUAACAGGGGUUACCAUGGCAACAACAACACAGUCACUAGCAAGUUCAUGUUCAAUUCUUUCUCCGCAUAUAGCUCUGCAACGCAUUCGCAUUCCACGCGCAUUCAACUUCAUCCACACAUCUAACUUUCCCAAAGCCACAACGAAUGUAACCGUUUCCCAUCAAUUUUCCUCUUUCGGGUUUCCCGGUAAAUCUCCGCGCGACACCACUGCCAUCAUCGCCGCUUCAUCCACUGACGACAGCGGCGUCACUUCUCAAGAUCUCGCAGUUUUUCUCGAAGUCCACGGGGUUCUUGUGGAUGCAUACCGUGUAGGGAAUCGCAUAGCCUUCAAUAAAGCAUUUGAGAAACUUGGACUUGAUUGUGCGAGCUGGAACGAACCUGUCUAUUCAGAUCUUUUAAGAAGAAGCAUUGGAGAUGAGGAAAAAAUGCUAUUCUUGUAUUUUAAUCGAAUUGGGUGGCCUUCGUCAUUACCCACAAAUGAGAAGGGACUCUUCACAAAAAGUGUUUUGCUGGAAAAGGAAAAAGCUUUGGAAGAGUUUGUGACCUCAAAAAGUCUACCUCUACAGCCUGGUGUUGAACAGUUUAUUGAUGAUGCAUACAAUGAAGGAGUUCCAGUGGUAGUAUUAACAGCCUACACUAAAAGUGGUGAUAAUAUUGCGAGGAGCAUAUUAGAAAAGCUUGGUAAUGAUCGAAGCAAAAAGGUGAUUAUUGUGGGGAUUAAGGAGGCUGAGCAAAGUUUAUAUGGCCAACUCAUCUCAGGAAAGGUGAUUGCUUAUGGUUUGGAUGAAGAGCUUGCCAAGGAAGCCACAAGAGCGGCUUCUGCUGAGAAACAAAGACUGGCAAAGGAGGUAGCAUCCAUGCUAAAUUUGAGUGUUGCGAUUGAUACUGGCUUACCUGAAAGUCUAGAUAAGAUUGUGACUGCGCUACAUGCGGGAGCAGAAUGUGCAGGGCUACCUAUCUGCAACUGUGUCCUUGUUGCAGGAAGCCAUUCUGGAGCAGUUGGAGCUGAACGGGUGGGCAUGCCGUGCGUUGUUCUACGAAGCAGUUUGACAUCUAGAGCUGAGUUCCCCUUAGCAAUUGCCACUAUGGAUGCGUUUGGAGGUGGAGAUCUGACCAUUUCAAAAUUACGCGAUCUAUGCCAGAAGAAACAACCAAAGGAUUGAGUGAGUUUUGUAUCAAUUACCCGCAAGAAAUUCAAAAUAAGAACCAAGUAUCCACUUGCUCUGGGUCUGAAGCUGGCAAGCAAAAGCACCGUGCCUAUAGAAAGGGAGUGUAAGAUAGUGUCUUCAGAGACAAUUUUUGCUGGUGAAGGCUGAACGAAAGAAGGCUUCACAAUCGCUCUGUGCAGUAUGCAGAGAGAAUCGCUCUGUGCAGUAUGCAGAGAGAUGUGAGGGAAUGGAUGCUAGGGAAGGAAUCCGAGAGUAUCUGUAUGUACUCAAGCAAGGAAUGUAACUUUCUUAUAAGUAACCGAUGCAAAGAGUAAUAAAAGUGUUAUAGAAUGCAGAGAAAGAAGAGGAUAUUUGUGAAUUGUAUGAUGUCCUCAUUCAGCAAUUACAACUCAAAUAGGCAGUUCUGUUUCAACCCACGUUGGGGACUCUUUUCUCUGCAACGCCAAUUCUAACAAAGUAAAUAAUUUUUCUUAUAAGUAUUUCAAAUACUCUCAAGAGUUUGUACGUAGGAAUACGCAAGAUAAUUCAGCAUAUAUUCGAGUUUGCACAAGAUUGGUGAAAAUUCAAAUGUAGGGAAGGUGAAAUCCGAAAUUUUAUGUGAAGAAGAUAGGUUUUUUUA